rnacentral:lncRNA from 1 species
GCUGCUCGCGGCGCCGCCGGCCUCCGCGUCGCGAGACCUUCGCCCGCGCCGGGCGGGCUUCGUCGUGCGCGGCCGCGUCUGGUGCGACAACUGCCGCACGGGCUUCGAGACCCCCGCAUCCACCUACAUUGCCGGUGCGACGCCUCGUUACCCUGUCCUCCCUCUCGUCUCGUAUGACUUGCCUUUGCUACUGAUGAUGUGCUUGCUUGAAUUCGAAUAAACUUAUUUCCCCUUCAAGGCUUCAACCCUCUGGAUCUGGCCAUGCACAUACUGGUUGGUUGCUUUAGGGAGUGUUGUUUGGUUGCGCUCCACUGCUCUGGGCGUGUGAAGAUGGCGUUGAGCCUCGUGUGUUCUUAAACUACAAAGUUGGCUGCAUGUUUAGUGUUAGUUUGUGCAGAAGGUUGGCUUUCUGCUAGCGCUCGUCGUCCUCGUCCAUGACAACGGUGCACGUGUAACUGGUUCACAGAUUCGUUCUAGUUAGAUCCACUUGUGAUUUCUUUUUUUUUUCUCUCAUUUUGACGGAUAUCUCGUUAUGAUUCGAAAUGUCUAGUUGGUGUAGGGGAUCUAGCAGAUCUGUACAUGCUAGCUAAAUUGACACGAGUGUGCAACGUAUGGAUCCAUAUGCUUCGAAUCUUUCGGUGGUGAUGAAUACUCAAGCGAGAUCUAGGGUCUUAGGCGCUCUGACCAUUGUUCAUGGACCGUGGUUUUCGUGUCGGGACAUCGAAUAGUGUAUGGUUCAGUGUACUCAGUAGUACAUUGUUGGACAUUGGGGUCUGGAUCAGGCUAUAAUCCUCAUGUUUGAUGUGCUGCCAAUUAAUGAAUCAGAACCAUGACUCAUCUUUAGAUAUCUGCACUCGGAAAUAGAUUUGAUUAUGUAUCAUAGAUGGACCAAACAUGUUUCUAUGGAAUGCAUGCUUAUCUGGUUGUCUAGGGAGGCCAGCAUCACAGAACAUGAAUAAAAAAUUAGAGAUACUUGACCCUUGUUGCUGAAAAUAUUAACUGUGAAGGUAUUGAUGUCAAAUCGGACAAUAUUGAAAUGAUGUUGACUAUCCCAGACUGGCAUCCAUACAUCGGACAAUAUAGAAAUGAUGUUGACUUCCCAGAUUGACAUCCAUACGAAGACUGGUGUUAUAUUUGUAGCUGGAUUUGAGUGAAUACGAGGUUAGUUUGGCCCAGGAAGUGCCAAAGUGGUAUGUGGCUUAACCUGUAUAACUGCUGUCAUUCUAGCAGGAGAUAAUUGCUAUCUUUUUUUUUGUAUUUAUACAAGGGAAUAUGUCACUUUAUUCUUUUGGAAGGACAGUUACUUUUAUCUUUCAACAGAAUUACACAGUAACAUAGCAUGAAAUUCAACUGCUCUGUAUUUUCUGAACAGCAGCUGCAAUGAUUCAUGUUGCCUGUGUGCUGCAAAACAAAGAAAUGGAGUUAGUGGUCUUCAAGACCAUAUGAUCUUAUAAAUUAGGUGCAACUACAAAGCAGUAUUGAGAAGCAAUAACUGGCCAAAAGUAAAGUGAAAACAGUACAUCCAAUUGAAAUAAAUACCUCUUACGAUUCCAUUUAAUUCCUAAGAAACCAUUGCCCUCAUAGACUUGCGCAAAAGUGCCCUUUCCCUCUUUAGCUGUAAGUUGCAUAUAAUCAUGCUAUUGGAACAUGCAUUACUUUUUCUCAUUCAAAGGGCAACUAUAAUUGAUAAAAAUUGGUCAGGAACAGGCAGCUAAGAUGAAUGUUUGGUUCCUUAUUUGUUGUAUUUCAGCGUUCCGAUAAGUAUUGUUCUAAUUUAUAUUUUAUUCAAUACUUUAACAAAUUGACUUGGACACUACAUACUUUAUGAGAUUAUUUGUAGUUGACUUUUCCAUUGUGGAUGGAGUAUUUUCUAGUAUCACUAAAAAAACUUGACCUGCUGGGGGUAAGACAGCCCCAGGUGGCACCGUUGCCAUGUGAGAAUGACCAUGACCAGGGCUGGACCUUAGACUUGUGCUUUGCUGAUGGACAGACAAGGAUAUUUUUUUAACCCAGCCUGAAAUUCGCUCCCACAGGGAGUUGAACCGAGGACCUUUCGCUUUUCUAGUAUUAGUAAUAAAUGAAAAUGGUAUUGUUUAGAGGCAUAUAGGUUACAAUAUGUGGCUUCAGAAAGUUUUCAGGUAUGGAACAAAUUUUGUAAGCUGGGCCGACCCUCACAAAACCUGGCCAUUAUUGGAAUAUUGUAUUGCUUAGAGAACAGGGCAAUGCGAAAGGGCCUCUAGCCUAGUGGUUAGAGCACCUGAGUAGCACCAGCAGACCUGAGUUCGACUCCCCAUGGGAGCGAAUUUAAACAGGUCUGCAUUAUCAAAAAAAAAAUGAAAAAAUAGGCUGGGAUUUCCCUUGCUGACUUCGGUCAAAAAAAUAGAGAACAGGGCAAUACCUGGCAGGCAUGGUAAACAUGUUUCAUCUGUAAUGUUCUACCAUCAAUGUAACAUGACUACAUGACAUGCAUUGAAUACUAAAAGAAGCAGCUGCAUUCCUGGAAAUGGAGUAGACUCAUGAUGCAAAAAAAUGUGAUUUUGUUUACCUUUUCGUUUGAUUGGGAGCUUGAUUAUUAAUGCAGUAUGGAGAGGCGUGCUGACCCAGACCCUUUCUGAUGCCUAGGCCAAUAAGGUGUGGCGAGGUGAUGCCAUACACAUACCCUCACGUACACUAGAGCAGAACAAACAUACAUUGAUACAUACCUUUGUCCUGCCAAUUCUAGAGCCCAUGCACAGUCACCCACCAACUAGCCAUAGCAGUUCAUGCCCAGUGCAACUAUCCAAGCACAAGCAGCAUACCACAUCACAGGAGUAUAUCCAAGUUCAAGAUCUAAGCAAGCAUGAGAAAUAUAGUUCAUACUUCUGAACAGAGGAAGGGAGAGGAAGAGCAGAGGAGGGGUGAAGCUGAGGUACCUGUGAGUCGACAUGAAGGGUGCUGGGCUGCUGGCAGGAAAGCGAGCAGAAGAAAGAGACGCUGAGCCCAUGUAGAAAUGAAAGCAACCAUGAAUUGAUGGGGCAGAGGUUGGAUGUCAGAGGCAUGAGUUGAUAAAGUGGAGGUCAGAGGUGAAAUCAGCGGAGUCUGUGGAGCACUUCUCGUGGAGAGGUAUAGGCGCACAAUUUUCCCUUGGUCAAAUUUCCAUGUGAGGCUACGCCAUGCACACACAUAGAGGUUGUGGCAGAUAUGAUGCUUCGAUUGGAAAAGCGGCCAGAUGACUAGGUGACGCCUAGGGGUGAGCAUGGCUGGGAGCAACAAAUUGGGAAAGAAAACUAGAGCUGAGAUCUCCAAGUAGAUCUGGCUGAGAUAAUAUUGUGAUGAGCUAAAAAGUUUGAAAAAGCAACAACUUUAGUUUAUAUGUAAUUAAAAGUUUUUGAGCAACAUUUAGCUGCCAUUUACUAGUCAUCUAGUAUUUGUUUCUUUGCCUUGGUGAUAUGAUAUUCUUCUAUUUCUUUCUUUGCGACUGUUAGUGAUGACAUUCUUUGUUGUUACACAGGAGCUAAGGUGAGAGUCGACUGCAAAUCGAAAACCACUGGGGCAAACACAUGCAGCUUCGAGGGACAUACUGAUCGCACUGGCACCUACAACAUCCUUGUCGCUGAUGAGCAUGAGCAUGAGCUCUGCGAGUCCAUCCUUGUGAGCAGCCCGGACAAGGGGUGUUCCAAUGUUGUGGUUGGCCGUGAGAGGGCCCCUGUCUUCCUCACC